rnacentral:rRNA from 1 species
UACGAAGGGGGGCUAGCGUUUGCUCGGAAUCACUGGGCGUAAAGCGCACGUAGGCGGACUCUUUAAGUUCGGUGGUGAAUCCUGGAGCUCAACUCCAGAACUGCCUUUCGAUACUGGGGAGUUCUCGAGUCCGGGGAGAGGUGAGUGGAACUGCGAGUGUAGAGGUGAAACUCGUAGAUAUUUCGCAAGAACACCAGUGGCGAAGGCGGCUCACUUGGCCCCGGGUACUGACGCUGAGGUGGCGAAAGCGUUGGGGAGCAAACAGGG